UACGAGGGGUGCAAGCGUUAAUCGGAAUUACUGGGCGCAAAGGGUGCGUAGGCGGUUCGUUAAGUCUGUCGUGAAAUCCCCGGGCUCAACCUGGGAAUGGCGAUGGAUACUGGCGAGCUAGAGUGUGUCAGAGGAUGGUGGAAUUCCCGGUGUAGCGGUGAAAUGCGUAGAGAUCGGGAGGAACAUCAGUGGCGAAGGCGGCCAUCUGGGACAACACUGACGCUGAAGCACGAAAGCGUGGGGAGCAAACAGG
rnacentral:rRNA from 1 species